UCAUUUUCGGCCAAAAUUUUAGUUGAGUUGGAAUUGGACAGUUAUACAACUUACCUCACUCACCGGCGCCAGAACGCUCGGAUUUUCGCCGCCUUCAACCACCGCCCGGAGACGCUCAAAUCCUCCGAUUACUUCUCAACUCAUUUUCAUUUUGCCCGCAAUGAUCGAAUUCCGACUUCUGGAAGGAGAAACUAAGACGGAGGAGGGAAUCGUUCCGGUUUAAGAAUUGGAGCGGUGCCUGAAAUGGCGGGAAGAGAAUGAUUCAGAAGUAAAUGAGUCAGAGAACUUUCACCAGUUUCACCAAAUGUCUGAGUUGCAAUCCAACAAUCCGGGCAUUCGUACAUGAGUCCGGAUGUCGUGCCCUCCACUUCCAAAUUCCAACGACAUGCUUGGAGUUGUAGUCUUGUCUUGUCGUGUCGUGUUCCUAAUCUCUCGAUCUUUUUUUUUGUCCCUUUUCCUUUUUUGAUUCUUCUUUUUACUUUCAAUUACUUUUCUAUUCAUCGCGCUUUUCCUCAGAUUGCCAUGAUUGAGCUGGAAUUCCCGUUUGAAUUCCUGCAUCGUGCACAAAUGAGUGAGGUCUUUACUUUUGGGUUUACUUUUUUUAUUAGACAGACAUACUGAUGAGAUUUCCAUUAUAAAAUCGUUUUUAGUGCUUAUGCUUUACCAAUUGUAUUAUCCACUUUAAUGCUUCUUUUCCAAUUAUUGAAAUUCUUUCCGUUUCCUGGUCCUACAAAAGGAACAUGAACGCUUGGUUGGAGAUUUGUCACUUUAAUUUGUUGGCCUCUACUUUACUUUACGUUUCCUCUUUGAAUUAGAACAUGGCUCUCUUUUUCUGUUUAGUUUUACCUGUCGUGCAAGCUAUUGAAUGAUGCCAUGGUGCUAUUACCGGAUUAUAUGUAAUAGUUUUCCAGCAAUUUGGAACAUACAAAUUUAUCUGUUACUAUUCCUCUAAAAUGUUAGUUCUGGGUCUAUGUCUACCUGCACAGUGUUCUCUGUUGAUGUUUUUGGCGUAUGUGGGUUUAAUAAUAUGCCAAAAGGUUGUUUAUUUGUGGUGAAACUAGCUGGUGCACUAGGUAAAAAGGGGAGAAAGAGUUUCUCCAUUUAGCAGUGCACUAAUGGUUUUUAUAUAAGAAGUAUGAACCCCACAAAUCAUUUAUUUAAUCUGCCAUAAUCUUUCCAAUUUGUUGAUUGUGUGAUGAAUCGAGUGAUGUUUACGAUAGUUAGAAGUCCAUGUUUUCCAUAAAUGGAGAGUCUGGCAUGAUUAUGAGGCAUUGAAGGAAAAAGUGGAAGAGGAUUGAAGGCAAUUUAUAUGCAAAAAAUAGCUCUGUCGGCAAAAGUUUUUAUUAAUCAAUUGUGAUGAAAAUGUGUUGGAGAUACAAGCUUGGGUUGCUUCUCAUUCUCAGUGUUGUGAUCUUGUGGGUUUCCUCUGCUGAAGUUACCCAGAGUAUUUUUGAAGAUUAUGAGCAACCAUUUGCAAUAUCAUAUGUUACAACGUCACUUUGGAUAGUUUAUCUUCCAAUAGCAUUGCUUAAGGACUGGUUGCUAAGUUUUUUGCACCGCUACAAUUCUAAACGUGGUGAUCUGUGUGUGGUUGGCCAAUCCUCUGUAGAAUUGCAGAAAAAUGAAGUCAAUAUUGCUUCUGAAUUAGAACAUCAAAGAGAGUUAAGUUGUAAAAACUGUACCAUAGACGUAUAUAGCAAGGAUGAGGGAGCACCAUUGGUGGCUGUACAUAUAGGUAAAGAAAACACACUGAAAAAGGAUCGCAAGUUCACUGCAAAGGAAGUUGCUGCUUUUGGCUUUUGCGUGGCUCCAAUCUGGUUUUUAACAGAGUACUUAACAAAUGCUGCACUUGCACGAACAAGCGUUGCGAGUACCACAUUGCUAUCCUCCACUUCAGGGUUGUUCACUCUUUUGAUUGGUGCAUUGCUGGGUGAAGACACAAUAAAUAUAAUUAAAGUUGUCUCUGUUGUUGUUAGCAUGGCUGGCGUUGUGAUGACAACAUUUGGGAAGACUUCAGCUGCAGAUGAAUUACAGAAGAAUGCAAAUGGAAAUGAGAAUCAUGCACUUCUGGGGAAUGUCUUUUCAGUCCUCUCAUCAGUGACUUAUGGCCUUUUCACUGUGCUUCUCAAAAAGUUUGCUGGAGGAGGACAAAAUUUAGAUAUGCAAAAACUGUUCGGCUGUAUUGGACUUUUCACCUUCGUUGCUCUUUGGUGGUUAGUGUGGCCUCUUACUGCCAUGGGCAUUGAACCCAGAUUCACGUUCCCCCACUCUGCGAAUGUGGAAGAAGUUAUAAUUGUCAAUGCUUUUGUUGGAAGUUUUUUGUCUGAUUAUUUCUGGGCUUUGGCUGUUGUUUGGACUUCCCCUCUGGUAGCUGCUCUAGGUGUUUCCCUUACUAUACCUUUUGCAAUGUUGGAGGAUAUGGUCAUCCAUGGCCGGCAAUAUUCUGUAAUUUAUAUCAUUGGGUCAGUUCAAGUAUUCUUGGGAUUUGUAAUAGCAAAUCUUUCAGAUUGGUUCUCUCAAAACUUGGCAUCCAAGGUGGCAAGAACAACUUCCCAACUGCAAUCACUCUCUUUUGGACCUCUGUGAUUGUGACAAGAUAAUGUGUUAUUUAUUAACUCCGCGACUUCUCAUUUUAAUUGGUCAAAAGCUUUGGGGAGGAAGGUCUUGGACUGAUACCACGAGACAAAAUGCUUUUUGGGAACUUAUAGUCAAGCUUAGAGAGCCAUCUGACAAGACCUUAAUCAAUUCAAAUAGGUUCUUCUCUCCAAGUCUCCUCAGCAAACAUAGUUAGGAGUUGAUGGAUGAUAUUAUUUUAAUAUAAUAUCAAAGGUAGGAGAUCUCAUUCUAAAAAAUGUCGAUUCAUCCCCGCUUCAAUAAAUAUUGUUUCACUUUAACAUGGUAUUAGAGUAGAAAGAGAGUUGGUCGUCAACUUAAACUUCUUAGUAGAAAGAGAAAGAUCACAACCUAGAAAUAGAAUUUUGAAAACAAGAGAUUUAAUGAAAACAAACUUAUCUUCA